ACGAGGGUGGACAGGUGGUGCAUGGUUGUCGUCAGCUCGUGUCGUGAGAUGUUGGGUUAAGUCCCGCAACGAGCGCAACCCUUGUCCUUAGUUGCCAGCAUUCAGUUGGGCACUCUAAGGAGACUGCCGGUGUCAAACCGGAGGAAGUGGGGAUGACGUCAAGUCCUCAUGGCCCUUAUGUCCAGGGCUACACACGUGCUACAAUGGCCGGUACAAAGGGGCGCAAGACCGCGAGGUGGAGCAAAUCCCAAAAAACCGGUCUCAGUUCGGAUUGGAGUCUGCAACUCGACUCCAUGAAGUUGGAAUCGCUAGUAAUCGCGUAUCAGCAUGACGCGGUGAAUACGUUCCCGGGCCUU
rnacentral:rRNA from 1 species